UACGUAGGGGGGCAAGCGUUGUCCGGAUUUAUUGGGCGUAAAGAGCGUGUAGGCGGCCAGGGAGGUCCGUUGUGAAAACUCGAGGCUCAACCUCGAGACGCCGAUGGAAACCCCCUGGCUAGAGUCCGGAAGAGGAGAAUGGAAUUCCUGGUGUAGCGGUGAAAUGCGCAGAUAUCAGGAAGAACACCCGUGGCUAAGGCGGUUCUCUAGUACGGUACUGACGCUGAGACGCGAAAGCGUGGGGAGCGAACAGG
rnacentral:rRNA from 1 species